rnacentral:rRNA from 1 species
UACGUAGGGUGCGAGCGUUAAUCGGAAUUACUGGGCGUAAAGCGUGCGCAGGCGGUUCGUUGUGUCGGCGGUGAAAAGCCCCGGGCUUAACCUGGGAAUGGCCGUUGAAACUGGCGAACUGGAGUGUGGCAGAGGGGGGGUGGAAUUCCGCGUGUAGCAGUGAAAUGCGUAGAGAUGCGGAGGAACACCGAUGGCGAAGGCAGCCCCCCUGGGCUAACACUGACGCUCAGGCACGAAAGCGUGGGGGAGCAAACAGG